UACGGAAGGGGGCUAGCGUUGUUCGGAAUUACUGGGCGUAAAGCGCGCGCAGGCGGCUAUCCAAGUCAGUGGUGAAAGCCCGGAGCUCAACUCCGGAACUGCCAUUGAAACUGUUUAGCUUGAGGAUGAGAGAGGUGAGUGGAAUUCCCAGUGUAGAGGUGAAAUUCGUAGAUAUUGGGAAGAACACCGGUGGCGAAGGCGGCUCACUGGCUCAUUACUGACGCUCAGGCGCGAUAGCGUGGGGAUCAAACAGG
rnacentral:rRNA from 1 species